rnacentral:rRNA from 1 species
AUUGAACGCUGGCGGCAGGCCUAACACAUGCAAGUCGAACGAGUGGCGGACGGGUGAGUAAUGUCUGGGAAACUGCCUGAUGGAGGGGGAUAACUACCGGAAACGGUAGCUAAUACCGCAUACCAUCAGAUCUGCCCAGAUGGGAUUAGCUUGUUGGUGGAGUAUCGGCUCACCAAGGCGACGAUCCCUAGCUGGUCUGAGAGGAGGAACAGCCAUACUGGAAAUGAGACACGGUCCAGACUCCUACGGGAGGCAGCAGGGGUGAAUAUUGGACAAUGGGCGCAAGCCUGAUGCAGCCAUGCCGCGUGUAUGAAGAAGGCCUUCGGGUGGUAAAGUACUUUCAGCGGGGAGGCGUUACCCGCAGAAGAAGCACCGGCUAACUCCGUGCCAGCAGCCGCGGUAAUAC